GUUCCUUUACCAGGAUGUCCCAAGAGUUGCCUGUAGAUAAAAUGAGCAGCAGGGCUUCACCUGCCCUAGUUCAAGGGCAUGUAGCUAGUUCAGAUUACUCUUGGUAUUUUAGUGACUGUCCAUGAAGAUGCAGUUGUACCCACAAAUGCUAUUUCUUAGCAAAAUCUAGAAGAUGAAUAGGGAAAAAGAAAGGGAGAAAAGGAGGUAAAGUGCAUAGGGCAAGAAUCCAAAGACCUUUUAAGUUACAUUCUUAACUAUUCACCCAGCACUGGUGGGAAAAUAAUAACUAAAAUUGUCAAGGUAAUUUUAAUGUGUUUGGAUGGAGCAUCAUUCAUAAUCACAGAUUUUUUUUGGGGGGGGGUGGUAAGGGCAUCAAGCCAGUUCCUUUCUCUUUCUCAAGCAUUCACGAGUACCAAUAGUGAUUGCUUUGUUCCUUAAUAUUCUCAAUUUUUUAUUAUCUUAUUUAGGAAGCAAAUACAUAGAGGAUACAUUGCUUCCCUCAUCCUACACUUCUGAGAUACCAUAGGAUUAUAUCAGGAGGUAAGAAUCCAGGGUACCUUUGGUUGGUUUCUAAGCACCCUUAGAUGUCUUGCACAUUUGAAUUCUCCUGGAGAUGGUAAUCUGAGGAAAACAAGAAUUCCCUCCCCAGGAACAUGCACACAAGUUUACAUUUAAUACUUCAGAUAUAAUUUCAGGCAAUUCAUAAUCCCUUUUAACCAUUCAAGAAUUGUAGGAAUCUAAUGGCCUCAGAU
rnacentral:lncRNA from 1 species